CCUACGGGAGGCAGCAGUAGGGAAUCUUCCGCAAUGGACGAAAGUCUGACGGAGCAACGCCGCGUGAGUGAUGAAGGUUUUCGGCGUGUAAAGCUCUGUUGUUAGGGAAGAACAAGUACCGUUCGAAUAGGGCGGUACCAAGACGGUACCUAACCAGAAAGGGACGGCUAACUACGUGCCAGCAGCCGCGGUAAU
rnacentral:rRNA from 1 species